GCAACAGUGAUGAAGGGAAGAAGUAGCACGCUUCUGCGCCUGCCAAGAGAGCCUCCGGGUGGUGUAAGGAGGAGAGAGCGGACCGUGUGAAUACAUCCUGGAGCAGCCUCCCGAACUUCUGAACGGAUCAGUAGGGUUGUGUCGGGUUCGCCCGUUACAGCGAUAGGGUGUGACUGCACCCGAUGAGGCCGUAUUCGUGAGGACACGGCGAAGAUGAGGUGGUACCGCGAUCGUUUAUAUCGCCCUCUGU
rnacentral:ncRNA from 1 species